CACCACAUCAAUGUAAUAGCCUGCAACAGCCUGGGAAAUCCAUCUAAUCAUCUAAACAUAGUUGUGUAGAUGACGACCUUGCCAUUCACAUGACUUCCAAACAUCAUUGAAAAGAGGUAGACUAUGAGGAAAUGUGGAAUACUCACAUGAGGCUACUCGCACAAAUGGCUUGUGUACAUCAUGCAAAGGGAGCAGGCUAAGUAAACAGAUGCAUUCCUGUGAUUUCAUAUGAAACUGUGAUGGCAAUUUCUAAAGUCCAAACAAUUAACGAAAAUGGUAGGUAAGACAGAGGAAAACUCAGUUGCACAAUAAACAGUUUUAUUCUUGGAGAGAGUACACAGGCUACAGAAUAACAUUGAAUAAUCUCUAAAACAUUGGGAAGUACAUUCAAUACUUAUAGAGAAAUGGGUGAGGGUAGGAAUCUGCAUGGUCGUACCACAAAACAACCUAUGUUCCUUAUCCAUCCUACCCCCUGUUGUGUAUAUUCCUCUAUCCUGUACUAAAACCCAUUGAUCUGUAUCUACCCCCGUCCUGCUGAAGAUUUUCUUUUACCUCGACACCUCAUACUUCCUUUCCCACCGCACAACCAACAUUCCUUUUCUCAUCUAAACAUGGCCGUUUAAUCAGAAAGAACACAUCAAUUAAAGACAUUUCCAUAACAUAACAUAUUACAUUAUAUUGGGAGAUACUGGCACUAGCUAACCAAGUAUGUAUUCACACAGAAAAAAAACACUAGGUAACUAUCACAUCAGACCAGAACUACAGUCUUUAAAAUACAUUUUGGAAAUAUAUAAACAACAUUUUUGACUUUUGAAAGGAUUGAGUUAGUACAUGUCAUAGUGGCACACAGUAAAAUAAGGGCAUCCUGGGUAACCACCUGAGGGAGAAAAACACACACCUCAGAACAAAAUGUCAUUUCAAGUUACUCCAAUAUUUUAUCUAGACUUUUUUUUUCUCAUAAAGUUGUCAUUGAAUAGAUCCCUGUCAGUAGGCUGAGUAUGAAAAUAGUAUAUACAGUAAGUAUACAUUAAGUCUCACCAUUACAUCAGAGUGAAACCUUGAUUACUAUAAAUUAUUAAUAGGGUUAGCUGCCACUGUUUACACAAUGAAUCCCAGUGAUAAAAUCCCGAUUGGGGGUAUCUCCGAGAGUUAUUUGAGAAUGAGCUGCAGCAGGAAGCCGUGUGAACAGAACACAAGAGGGAUGCAGUGCUCCCCAGUGUAAGCUAAUCUGUGCAGUGAGCUGUAGACAGCCUUGGAGAAAGUAUGUUAGCAAUGUACCCAGUGUACAGGCAGAUUAUCAGGCUUGGUACUGGGAGGGAAUCACAUUAGACCAUACUACACACAGCUACAGCCCGUUGGCCACAAAGCAAACAGGGAUCUCAAUGUCUGGGACUUAAUGAGCUAAAUAAACACAUGAACACAGUAAAUGGUGAAUAAAUAAUGUACACUGACAGAUUAAUAAGCAGGUCAAUAAAUAAUGAAUUAUCUCUGAGUGAGUAAAUCUGCUGUAACAAUAUAUUAGAGUUUAUAGUGACACUACCAGGUCCUGUGACCAGGAAAGGGUUACACGAUUCCUGGCUUUCAGCAUUUCAAAAAAAAUGGGUAGAAAAAUACUAUUAGAGUGACUUAAAGGUAUAUCAUCACCAUUACAGUGCUACAUAGCACAUAAUGUUCAUUUCCAUACAUAACAGACUGACAGCUUCACAGCAAGCUUAAGACUUCAGGUUACUAUUAGGGUCGUCAGAUUAACUUUGUUUUGUCACAUCGUCAUUAACGUGAAAACAUUUCCAGUAUCAUCCAACUAGAGCAAGGUGGGUAGAGUGGUAUUUCAUAUAAUUUCUGAUUGUUUUAGACUACUGCAGAGACUGCCAUGUGAAUACUAUGUCCUUCUCUCAUCUUCACAUUGAUAAAGGAAUGAGCUGUACGUGCCAUUCAUUUGAGGGAUCUUUGGUGCAUUCUUGUCUACCACCAGCAGCACCUUUAUACCAAGUUGCAUUCUGGGUAUAUGUAAAUGUACUUAGUGAUUGCAAGGGAUUCUGAUUCAUGGAUAGGGGUAGUCCAUCCAGAUAUGGGGGUGCCGGAUAUUCAUCGGGUGAUCUGCAGAAAAAAAGGAACUUAUUAUGCAAUACAUUAAAGGACAACUACUAGAGAAAACUCAGAACAUGAUUUUAAUAUAUCAUAAUCCAAAGAUAGCCUCAUGUACAGUAGGUGGACCAGAGUAUUUUCAGGUCAGAUUGGGUUCAGGAAGGACUCCUCCUAUGUACAGUAAACAACAGAUGACUGACAGGGGAAGAGCAAUGUUUUGGAACCACUGUGCCAUUUUUGUAAUAUCUAAAUUCCUUUCUACCACAGCCACAUUUACCCAUUAUUUCAAUUAUAUUUGAUCUGACCAAAGUUCUGUCAAAGUUCUGAUAUUUUGCCACUGAUGAACACAAAAAGUAUGAAAUGUCAAAGCAUAAAAUUAAAUCUACAAAUCUUUCUAAAUUAAUUACAAAUAUAAAAGUGUCUUUACCCAAAA
ensembl:lncRNA